rnacentral:ribozyme from 1 species
AAAAAAAAAAAAAAAAAAAAAAAAAAAAAAGGGACGCAACCAAAACAGGCAACACAGGAGCAGAAACUUUCUCUUUCCUUUCCUUCCUCUCCCCUUUCUUAAUCGCCUUUUUUCUUCUUUUCUAAUUUAUUUAUUUUUAGUUAAAAACAAUAAAAAGAAAGAAAGAGAAAGAAAGAGAAAGAAAGGAA